AAAGGUGUGUGAGGCUCUCUCAAAUGGACUCGGUUUACCUGUCAUAGGAAAACGAUCAUCCUCAAAGAUGUUUCGAAGCAGCUCGACUUGUAACAAAUGUUGUUUCACUGACCUAUGCAAUAAUCGAUGCAAUAAGCAAAGCCUAACAACAAGGAAUAUAGCUACAAUUAUAAGACAAGAAACCGUUACUUCUUCCUCAACACAGACCACAACUAGUAAUGCCAUAGUUACCACUAACAGGAUCCCAAUCACGAAUUCAAGUACUUAUAUCUUU
rnacentral:lncRNA from 1 species